rnacentral:rRNA from 1 species
GGUGAAUCAUUCUGGCCCGCGUCUUUCGGGACGUGAGAGCUGGCGUGUUUUUGCCAUCCUUCUAGGGUGCUAUGUCUACUCUUUACUGAGCUGGGCAUAUGUGUUCUAGAUCGUUUACUUUGAAAAAAUUAGAGUGUUUAAAGCAGGCUGACGCUGUGAAUACAUUAGCAUGGAAUAAUAAUAUAGGACUUCGGUUCUAUUUUGUUGGUUUCUAGGGCUGAAGUA